rnacentral:rRNA from 1 species
GACGAACCGUGCAAACGUUGUUCGGAUUCACUGGGCUUAAAGGGCGCGUAGGCGGCCAACUCAGUCAGACGUGAAAUCCCUCGGCUUAACCGGGGAACUGCGUCUGAUACUGGCUGGCUUGAGAUCGGGAGAGGGAUGCGGAAUUCCAGGUGUAGCGGUGAAAUGCGUAGAUAUCUGGAGGAACACCGGUGGCGAAGGCGGCAUCCUGGACCGACACUGACGCUGAGGAGCGAAAGCCAGGGGAGCAAACGGG